rnacentral:rRNA from 1 species
CCUACGGGUGGCAGCAGUGGGGGAUAUUGCACAAUGGUGGAAACCCUGAUGCAGCGACGCCGCGUGUGGGAAGACGGUCUUCUGGAUUGUAAACCACUGUCCUCAGGGACGAAAAUGACGGUACCUGGGGAGGAAGCUCCGGCUAACUACGUGCCAGAAGCCGCGGUAAUCCGUAGGGAGCAAGCGUUGUCGGGAUUUACUGGGUGUAAAGGGAGCGUAGGCGGGGAUGCAAGUUGGGGGUCAAAUCUAUGGGCUAAACCGAUAGUCGCACUCAAAACUGCAGGUCUUGAGUGAAGUAGAGGCAGGCGGAAUUCGGAGUGUAGCGGUGAAAUGCGUAGAUAUUAGGAGGAACACCAGUGGCGAAGGCGGCCUGCUAGGCUUUUACUGACGCUGAGGCUCGAAAGUGUGGGGAGCAAACAGGAUUAGAUACCCGGGUAGUC